ACGAAAUUUGUAUUGCAAAUCAUAUCUGAACAGCCAGAAAUUAUACCUUCAAUUUUCAUAGUUUUUAUAAAUUUAUCUGAUGCAAUUUCUUAAUGAAAUGGAAAUUUAAGGAAAAGCAAAGACACGUCAUAAUAAAACUAGCGAUACUCGAUCAAGCUUUGAGCUAGACAACAAGAAAUUACAUAAUUACAAAUCUUACCAAACAGAGGGAGUUUUCUAGCUUAUCAAUAUUGAUCGAGCUCAUUGGACGACAACGAGAUUACUAUUUAGCUUCAACUUUUUGAUAAUCUGACAAGAGUUUCAAUCCUUGGUUAGAAUAUUUACAAGAAAUUAUAGAAUUACAAUAUAACUAAAGAUACUAGAUCGAGCUUAAGAAACUAUAGAAUUGCAAUGGAGGAGCAUGCAAUUCAAGGAUUGUGAUCUCACCUUGCAUGCAGUGACGAUUAUAAUUGCAAACUCGACUAUUUGAUUACAAUUGUAAUUGCCAACUAAGAAUGAGUACUUUUCAAUUCAUCAACCAAAUUUACAAAAUAAAAUCCUGUAGCCGCAAAAACACUGAUAUAAUAAGAUUAAACAAACUUAGCCAAUUAUAAAAGUGAUUCAAUUAUCAAAUCCAAACCCAUUUAUAAAGCCAUAAUCCCUAAUUUCAAUUCGAAUCUCAGCAACCAAUGCGAAAAAUGGAAAUUACUCAGAGAAGACCGAAAUACCUUUGACAAUUUCAAUUAAGAACGGAUGUGUGAGAGAUAAGAGAGAAAGAGACAAGAUUGUCGUGGUGAUCUUCGGAGUCUGAGGGAAGAGGAUAUUGAUAGAUUUGCGAUGGCGAUGAAGGUGAAAAUGAUGGUGGACAAUUAUGAAGUGAGAGAGCAAGCAAGUGAUGUGUGUGAAAUAGCUUUCGGCACGCGAUGAUUUUUUAUUUAAAAUCCUUUUUGUUUUUUUUUAAUAGGCCAUCGUGGUUAUUAAUUAAUGUGCAUUUUCAUUUUUAUCUUUAAGUUUUUAUACCAUGUUGUUUAUAAACAUUAUAUUCAUUUAACAAACAAUAUUAUCUACACUAAGAAAAAGGAGGUUGGCUAAUCCUCACAAUAGGCUAGCAGGAAAUAAGCAUGGUCUUACUAGCAUUAAUUACCCAAUACACAAUAAAUACAAAAUUAACUCUUUAACAGAACCAUUGCGAUGAGGACAUACGUCCAUCACUCGUGUACACAUUGAACAAAUUAACAUGCACCCGCACGCUUUAAAUAUGGUAUUAAUGGCCUUACUAGCAUUAAUUACCCAAUACACAAUAAAUACAAAACUAACUCUUUAACAAAACCAUUGCGAUGAGGACAUAUAUUAAUUGAUUUAGUAGCAUAAUAAGCAAUAUCAUUUUAUACCUUUCACGAUAUAAAAUAAUUUAUUAAAGCAAGGAGUGCGGUAUAAUUUCCUUUUUUAGGGGUUUAAAGGGGGACUGGUGAGAGAAUUAUAUCAUUUAACUCUUAUGGUAUUAGUUAUAUAUUGAAAACUAUAAUCGCAUAUAUUUAUUUCGUCAUAGUUUUUUUUUUGUUGAAAAAAGUUCGAUAUUUAUUGCAAAUCAAAUUGAACACAUACAAUUUGAGGAUAGUGUGCAUAAUGGGCCUCAAUAAAAACCUUGUCGGGGCUUUCAACCCGAUCUAAGGAAAAGAGUGUCCUGCACUACAAAAGAACCUAUCCUCCAAAGACAAUACAUCAAAGCUAUAAACUUUCUUCAAUCAAAACAUUCCUAAUCAAAUCAAGAGGAUCUUCAAACCAUAUGAAUACUUGGUUACUAC
rnacentral:lncRNA from 1 species